ensembl:lncRNA
GUAUUUUCUUGGAGAGAAAGGGAAAUGAAAAGUUUGAUAGAGAGGAUGGUUUUCCUUCUUGACCACUGUUGAAGCUGCUCGGUUGUGUCUAGCUCUUUUCAACCCCAUGGACUGCAGCACACCGGGCUUCCCUGUCCUUCGCUAUCUCCCGGAGUUUGUUCAAGCUCAUGUCCAUUGGAUCGGUGAUGCCAUCCAACCACCUCAUCCACUGUCUAGGUUUGUCAUAGCUUUUCUUCCAAGUCUAUUCUUUAUCACCAAGCAGAAAUGUGCAAAGCCAGAUGGUGAAAUUCCAAGUGAUACAAUUUGCCCACGUUAAUGGUUCUGAUUAAAGAUUUUCCAGGCUAGAUGUUAAAAUUUCUAGGUAAAAUGAAAUUUGUGAAAUCAACCAGCCAUUUUUUUUUACUAAAACAUAACAUGAAAAACUCAAAAUGUAUUAAUAAAAGUUGGUAUCUAUUUUUAAUACUGACCAGUCCCUUAAAAAAAUAAAUAAAAUUGUAAAGCUUAUAAGUGUUAGUCAGAGCAGAAACCAAGUCUUCUGAUACCCUGAUCCCUUUCUGGAUACCCAAGGAAUCCAGAGACAUGAGCCAUGUAGGAAUCAAAUGUAGAUCUCAAGACAUGAGCAAAUUUGUGGACUAUUCCUGCAGGAGGCAGAUUCUAAGUCUGGGAUACCAUGUAACACAACAGACAACCUCCAGUUUCUCCUAUGUGGCAAAUACCCUUCCCACUGGGUAUACUCACAGAAACACGUGAUACAUGCAAGUGUGCUUACGUGGCAUGUGCUGCCCCGCCUCCCCCCUGCCAGAGGUUUGGUCACAGCUACAGCAUCUUGACAACCUAUUUAAGCCAACUUGCAUGAACUGGCAACAAAGUAUCCAUGCUCUGACAGGCUGAGUCAUUGAGCUUCUGCAGAAGUUGGAAGAGGGAAUCUUUAGCUGAAACAUUUAAGAACCAGGGGGUCCCUGAGAGGUAUGUGAUAAAUUCCAUUCAGAUAUUGAGAUUGAUUUCUUUCCUCUUUCUUUCUUUUUUUUUUUCAAUCAUAUUCAAAGAGCUAACAAGUUGUUUUCACCUUAUCAAGCAAGAUGAGAAGAACAUUGCUUCCUUUAUUCUUGAGUGGGUCUGUGCCAAAAGAGUGCUAACAGUAGCUGAGUAAUUAAGGGUAGCAUCUGAGUUAUCUGAGAGCACUUUGUACAUGUGACAUUUACUGAAAGGUAAAUGGUGCUGCAAAUACUUCAGCAAAAUCCAAUUACAGGCCUCCAAGUCCAUUAUAAUUUACUGCUUCCACAGUUCACUCUGUAAACUCCCGCACUGUUUACACUGUUUACUGUAUAGGCAGCCCCUCUGCUUUGAAACUAUGAUGUUGCAAAUUUGUUCAGCUGACAGCUGAAUGGACACAUAACUCCAUCAGAGAGGGAAAGGCAGAUGUAGGUGUAAGGACUGAAUUUUAUCUCAUGGCAUCUGAGCAGCCUCCAUGGCCUGACAGCUUUGUUGUGCUAUAUGGGUUAACAAUUGGGUCAUGAGAUAACUCACAAAACUCUCCAGCAGUCCAGGCUUUGCUGGGGUUAACUCUUGCUGUGGGGCUGGGAUGAGGAAAAGCAGAUCUUCUCAAGCUGCAGCUGCAGUUGACAGUUCCUUCACCCCAUACCUGAGCUCCUGCUCCCUGGAAGAGAAACCCGAGUAACGACAGCCGUAGCUGCAGAGAAGGGUUCUUCUUGGCAGUGGCUGAUUCCAGCUUCAAAGCUGUGGGCAUUGAGCUAGAAAGCAGUACAGAGAGAGGGCCAGGAAGUAAGUGACGCCGGGAAAUGGGAAACUCAGGGGAGAAAGGACUUGACUUUCUUCCCCUCACAGAGAUGUGCGUUGCAAUUUUCGUCUUUUCAUCUGGACUGGUGAGUUUCAAAAUUUUUAGUCUUUAGACGACUUGAGCUAGACAAAAGUCUCACCCAUUUACUAGAUUGAACAAGCCAGCAAACAAACAAACAAAAAACCACUUCGCAGGUGUGUUUGCUGAAUCCCUGUGAUUAUUUGUAGAUCCCUUUAAACAUAUUUGUUUUGAUGCUUUUAAGUUUUGAUUGAAAUCCACAGCAGAAAAUAUGUUUUAAAAGGGGGAAAAAAAUCAACACGCUUCUGUGCCUUGCAUUUUGACCCAGCCCACAGAACGGUUGGAAGACUCUCUGCAGACCCACUAUAGAUCCCCGGAUUCCACUUGGAGAACCAUUCAUCUAAAAAAAGACAUCUUGAUUUCAGAACCCUUCUUUUGAUCUGGAAUUAUCUGUUACUGACCACAGACAGCUGCUACUGACAAUCCCCGGGACAGGGCCCUGUAGAGUGAGUGGUGAGCCCAGUGUGGGAAGAAGAAAUUUCUUUCUCUUUGUCAACGAGUGUUUCGGUACAGAGCCAUAACUGUGCUUAAUAGGAUAUCUAUGCGCUCAAUUUCUUCUCCUUUCCUUCCUCUUCUUUUUCUUUCCUUUCCCUUUCUUCCUCCUCAUUUCCUUCUACUUUUUUGUUUCUUCUGUAGUAAAAAAAUAUACCAAGCCCUUGGUGCCUAGAUGAUUUUUUUUUCCUGGUACAUUCCACUGAUUGGAGUUUCCUAAUUACAGUUUCUUACUUGGGUGCAGAAUCUUCCUAUAUUUGAGCACCUAAAUUUUUGUAAAAGCAGUUGGCCACUGCCCAUGCUUUGUGUACAGGUAGCUGAGAUAGUACCAGAGAAGAGAAGGCUACAAGUUUGUGCCCUUCCCUGUAUCAAAGUGUGGCGCUCUAUUGAGAUACGUGUAGGAGAAGAACAUUCCGGGAGGGAGCAGCCAUGUUGCAGUGAACCGACAACACGGAUAAUAUAAAGAACAAAUCCAGGAAGAAAUGGAACCAUACCCUGAAAGCUUGAAGUUACAGUGGUUCAUUUGGUCAACCUCCUCUGAAAAUAAAGGAAAAGAUUUUCAUGUUGAAGGUAGGGCAUGUGCAUGCAUUUUCUCUGCUUAAGCCACAGGGAUCUCAUUAAGGAUCAGGACACUAACACUGAUGGCUUAAUUUUGGGCACAACUCUCAGCAGGAAAGCCCCAUUCAAAGGCAAUUACAAGGAAUUGCGGGGGGCCCAUUAUAGCCUUUUGAUUUGGUCUCUCAAAUAUCCUGUUAGACAGAUGUAGAAAGGAGACCAAUCUUUACCUCAAAAGAAGUAAAUUGUAGGUUGAAGUGUUUGGUUUCAGUCUCUGUCAGGUUGAGGCUUUGAAAAACAGAUCUGUGGGUCUAGGAAACCACAUACAGGAUUCAAUUGCUUUGGAGUCCUGUGCGUAUUCAAGGAUAUAAGGAAGUGUAUAACUCAAUUUGAGACAAUUGUUUUUAAUUGGCAGUUUUACUGUCGAGUACGGUAAACCUGUUUUGUGUAAGUGGCUCGGGGUUGAAAUACAGUCUGGGAAAAGGGCUGUUUCUGGUUCUUCAGGACAGUCUGAAGGCAUCUCAAAAGUUAAAAUAACAUGAAACUUGCCAUCUUUCUGUUACACCGCAAAUGCUUUUCUCUUCCAAGCGCUUCUGCAUAUGGGUAAGCAUUCCAGCAAAGAUGCAGUUACAGUCCAGCAUGGGAAAGCAAAGGAGCCUAGUGUUCAGAGUUCGAUGAAAGAGCCAGGAUGCUAGUCAAAAAGAGAGACGAGUUCUUACAGAAGCAAAACAGAAAAUAGAAAUCAAAAUGAUUGCAUGUCAAUGUGUGUGUUGGGGUUGGGAGGAAGGUGGAUGGUAGCAGAGUGCCAUAUCUUUUAUUGAGAUAAGAAAGAAUAUGGCUCAGGGAAAAUGUACACAAAGAGAUAGACUGUGGCUUGAGAGAAAACUGACUUUAGUUGGGUAGGGAAGAUUUAUUCACGUUUUGGUGAGGAAAUUGGAAAGAACUGUAAAGCUAAAGUCUGUAUCCAAUUUAAAUACCUGUGCAGCUGGGUCUGGGGGCCAAAGUAGUCCCUAGAGCCCCAAGAGGUCUUCAUUUUGCAGACAGGGCAGCUCUCUUGAGGAAAAAGAAGAAGAAUGGGGGGGUGUUGCAGUGGGGGAGAGUUCUAUAAGUCCUUCUAAUAGCCCCCACCAAAUUAGGACACAGCCAUAAAUUGCCUGCUAGACAACCACCAGUUCUGUCUCCAUCUGUUCCCCAAACCUGUGCUUACAGAUUCUUUAUAUUCAGGUGUUUUUAAGAAGAAUCAGCUUGGAACAAAAGUACUAAAUUCAAAACAUUCUAAACCACAAUUUAAAUCUUAUUGAAAAGAUUAAAGGCUGAAAAGUGUGACUCUUUUCAUUUGUUUAGAAAUAGUCCUUUCUGACUGGAUCCCAUCAAGUAUAUGUUUUACUCUUUCCUUGGUUUGGUCCUCUCUCAAGUGUCAUCAGCCCUCAUUCAAUACAGUCAGUGAUUGGACUUUCAGAAGGGAUAAAAGUAGUUCUUUAAAAUUGCCUCCUUAUGUCCUAUAGUUGCACCCUUUGACAUUCCCUUCCAGAGAAGUGAUGUCAUCCCCAUCCAUAGUACCACUCUAAGUUAGGGACACAGAGAAAAAAAAUCACUAGACCCUAGUGAAGUUACACUGAUUGGAGCUUCAGGGUGGUCAAGUGGCCUGAUUCUCAGGAGCAACAGGCCCUGGUGCACAAAGAUCAGGAGCAGGAAUUAGGAGAUCAGUUUCUAAUCCUGCAUCUACUUUUAAUAAUCUGUGGGGCUUUAAUCUCUUUGACUUGCUCAGGGCUGCCAUCUUCCUGUGCAUCAAAGGAGAAGACAAAGCCUAGCCUCUCCUACUUGUGAAUAAGACGACAGCUCAAAGUACCAGCCUUUGCUGGGUGACAGAGAGCCAGGUCAAAGAGAGAAAGUUGUGACAGCUGCCUUUUUCACUUGAUUGCUUAAUUUUUAAAAUCUUGAUCUCUUUCUUCCCUGGGAUGCUGAAUGAUCUGGACACAGACCACAAUACUUUAUUUUUUUUUGUUUUAAAUUAUUUUUUAAUUUAUUAAUUUUUUGUAUUAUUGUAAAGGUUAAUUACUUUACAAUAUUGUAUUGGUUUUGCCAUAUAAUACUUAAAAUUUUUAUUUGAUGUUUGUCUGUUUCUAUUAAACAAAAAUGUCUACAGCUUGAUGAAUUUUCACUACAUGAACAUACCCAGGAAAACUGAACCUAGAUCUAGAAACAGAACAUUACCAGUACCCAGAACCCCCUCAUUCCCUCUUUAAGUUUCUUUAUUCCCAAGGGUAACCACUAACCUGACUUCUAACACCAUAUUUAAGUUUUGCCUGUUGGUGGUGGUGGGCAGGGGUGGUGGUGGUAAUGGGGGUGAGGGGGGCGGUAUGUACUUUGAUGCAUGACUUCUUUUGCUUUGUAUGAUUUAGUUAUGUUAUUGCAUAUAGUAAUAUUUGGGAUUUUGUUUUUUGACUGCACCACUCAGCUUGUGGGAUCUUAGUUCCCCAAUCAGGGAUCCAACCCUAUGGCUCCUGCAUUGGAAGGAUAGAGUCCUAACCACUGCACCUCCAGGGAAUUUCUGCAUGUAGUAAUAUUUUAUUUGCAUUGCUGUAUGGUAUUUUAUGAGUUAACAUACCACAAUUUAUUUAUUAAUUGCCUUAUUGAUGGGCAUUUGGAUUGUUUCUAGUUGGGGCCUAUUAUGAACAGUUCUACUAGGAACAUUUGUGAACAGUUUUUUGCUGAACAUAUGAAUGCAAUUCUAUUGGGUAUAUCUAGAAAUGGAAGUGCUGAAUUGUAAGACAUGUGAGUUCUGCUUUAACAGAUACUGCCAGUUUUCCAAAUUAGUUGUAUUAUUUUACACUUCUACCAGCCAUGUCUGAGGUUUCUGGGGUUUUUUUACAUCCUCAUGGCUCAGACGGUAAAAAUGUGCCUGCUAAUGCGGGAGACCCAGGUUUGAUCCUUGGGUCAGGAAGAUUACCUGGAGUAAGAAAUGACAACCCACUCCAUUAUUCUUGCCUGGAGAAUCACAUGGACAGAGGAGCCUGGCAGGCUACAGUCCACGGUGUCCCAGAUUCAGACACUACUGAAUGACUAGCACUUUUACUUUCAGUAUUCAUCAAUACUUGGUAUUGUCUGUCUUUUGUAUUUAACUGUUUUGGUGAGAGAAUAGUGGAAUGCCUUUCUAUUUUAAUUUAUAUUUCCUUGAUACUAAUGAAGUUGAGCACCUUUAAUCAUUCACUGGCCAUUUGGAUAUCCUGUUUUGUGAAAUAGCUUUCAUAUCUUGAACCUAUUCUGUUGGGUUGUCUGACAUUUUUAUUGGUCUAUGUUCUUUAACUGUAGACAUUGGUUGUGUACAAGUUACAAAUAUCAUUUCCCAAAUGUUGUCUAAGACCCUGAGACAAAGGGAAAAUCAGUAGAUACCUAUCUUGAUUUUAAAUUAUAACAUUUUAUUCAUCAUGGAUUUUAAAAAACUAAUUUUGAUUUUUUAAAAUACUGCAAAUAUCUUGUUUUGAUUACUGAGGGUUUUCUGUUUUGUUUUGUCUUUUUUUUUGAUGCCCCCUUAAAAAUUUGUGUUCAAGCUUAACGCUUUACUAGACCUUCACCUGACGCUUCAACUUGCCUCAACCUAGGCCUGGCUCUUAUUCCAUUCUGUGGCUUGCACUAUCACUGUCUUUAUAGUGUUAUUUGUUGAAAAGGAGUUCCUAAUUUAAUCUUAAGUUGAUUAAAUUAUUCAAGAUUUUGUUUCAUGGUUAGCAUCUUUUUAAAAAAUUCUGUUAAAAAGUUUUUUUCCUACCUAAAAUCAUGAAAAUAUUCUCCUAUAAUAUUUUUUUGAAUAGUGCUGUUCAAUAGAACUUUCUGCAAUGAUAGAACUAUUCUCCAGCUAUGCUGUACAAUAUGACAGCCCAUAUGAUGCAGGUAUUGAGCACUUGAAAUGUGGCCAGUAUUUCUGAUGUAUUGAAUUUUAAAUUUUAUUUACUUUUAAUUAUUUUAUUAAAUAUAGAUAGUUGUAAUGUAAUCUGAAAACAUCAUCCACCUGAUUUUAGGGUAUGCUGUAAGGUCAUAUUUUAGGGUAUGCUGUAAGGUCAUAUUUCCUGUUUCUCUUCCAUAUGGAUAGCCAGUUGACCCAGUAUUGUGUACUGAAAAGACUAUUAAUUCCUUUUAUAGUUAGACAAUUUUCUAUAUGAGUCUGGUUAAUCUGGUUCUGGAAUGUCCAUUUUUAAAAUUUAUCUAUUAAAAUUUGUCUUUGUGCCAGUUCCAUGCUGUUUCAAAUACUGUAGCUACUAUAAUGAACUUAAUACAUAAUAGAAUAAGUUUUUCAUAUUUCUGGUCUUCCACAAGAUUAUCUUGACUAUUCUUGAACUUCUGCUCUGCAUUUCCACAUAGAUUUUAUUUAUUGAAGUAUAGCUGACAUAAUGAUUUGACAGCACAGUGAUCUGACAUAUAAAUACAUUACAAAAUGAUCACUGUGAUAGGUCUAAUAACCAUCUGUCACCAUACAAAGUUAUUAUAGUAUUAUUGAUUAUAUUUCUUAUGUUGUAUAUUACAUCUUUCAUGCAUGCAUGCUAAGUUGCUUCAGCUGUGUCCAAAUCUUUGCAACCCUGUGGACUGUAGCCUGCCAGGCUCCUCUGUCCAUGGGAUUCUCAAGGCAAGAAUACUGGAGUGGGUUGCCAUGCCCUCCUCCAGGGAAUCUGCCUGACCCAGGGAUUGAACCCAAGUCUCUUAUGUCUCCUGCACUGGCAGGCAGCUUCCUUACCACUAGUGUCAUAUUACUGGGAAGCCCAUAUUAUUUAUAUAUUAGGGUUUAUUUAUUUUAUAACUGGAAGUUAGUGCCUCUUAACCUCUUUCAUCUAUUUCACCAACCCCCCUAACAUUCUCCCCAUGGUAAUAACCAGUUUGUUCUCUGUAUCCAUGUCUGUUUCUGUUUUCUUAUUUUUUAUAUAAUCUUAUUUAUUUUUGGCUGUGCUGGGUCUUUGUUGCUGCAUGGGCUUGCCUCUAGUUGCAGCAAGGGAAGCUACUCUCUAGUUUUGGUGCACAGGCUUCUCACUGGAGUGUAUUCUCUUUUGUUGGUGUUGUUUUGGUUUUUAAAAUUCAUUUAUUUUUAAUUAGAGGAUAAUUGCUUUGCAAUGUUGUUUUGCUUUCUGCCGUACAUUAGCCUUAAUCAGCCAUAUGUAUAUAUUUGUUCCCUGCCUCUUAAACCUCCCUCCCACGGUGGCUCCUCUCAUUGUAGAGGCCAAACUCUAGAGCACAGGCUCAAUGGUUGUGGCACACAGGCUGAGUUGCUCCAUGGCAUGUGGGAUCUUCCUAGACCAGGAAUUGAACCCUUGUCUCCUGCAUUAGCAGGCAGAUUCUUUACCACUAAGUCACCAGGGAAGCCCUUGUUUUGUUCUUUUUAUUUCACGUGUAAGUGAAAAUAUAUGGUGUUUGUCUUUUUUGUCUGACUUAUUUUACUUAGCAUAAUACCCUCCCUGUUGUGGCAGAUGGCAAGAUUUCAUUCUUGUUUAUAGCUGAGUGAUAUUCCAUUGUGUACAUAUACGAUAUGGUCUUUAUCCAUUCAUAAAUCAAUGAAUAUUUAGAUUGCUUCUAUAUCUUGGCUGUUGUAAAUAAUGCUACAGUGAAUAUUAUUGUUCAAUAAAUAUGCAUUGUUCAUAUACAUUUUGAAUUAGUGGGUUUUUUUUUUUAGUGGUUUUGUUUUCUUUUGUUUUUCACCCAGAAGUGGAAUUGCUAGAUCAUAUGGUAGUUCUAUUUUUAAUUUUUUGAAGGACCUUGAUACUGUUUUCCAUAGUGACUGUACCAAUUUAUAUUCCCACUUAGCAGUGCACUAAGAUUCUCUUUUCUCAUAUCCUUACCAAUCAUUAUUUGCUGUCUUUUGGAUGGCAGUGAUUCUGAUAGGCGUGAGGUAUAUCUCAUUAUGGUUUUGAUUUCCAUUUCCUUGAUGAUUAGUGAUUUUGAGCAUCUUUUCCUGUAUCUGUUGGCCAUCUGUAUAUCUUUCUUGGAAAAGUGUCUACUCAGGUCCUCUAACCAUUUUUUAUUUUAUUUUACUUGUGUAUAUUUUUAUUUUGGCUGAGCUGAGUCUUUGUUUUGGUGCAUGAACUUUCUCCAGUUGCACCUCACAGGGACUUCUCUGGAUGCAGUGUGCAGCCUUCUCUUGUUACAGAGCAUGGGCCCUAGGGUGCACAGGUUCAGCAGUUGCAAUGCAUGGGCUUAGUUGCCCAGUGGCAUGUGGGAUCUUAGUUCCUCAACCAGGGAUUGAACCCAUAUCCCCCAUUGGAAGUUGAAUUCUUAACCACUGGACCAUUAGGGUCCUCUGAGGACCCAGGUCUUCUGAUUUUUUUUUUUUAAUAAUUGGGUUGUUUGGAUUUUUUGAUAUUGUGUGGUUUGAGUUCUUUGUAUACUUUGAAUAUUAACCCCUUAUCAGAUAUACUGUUUGCUAAUAUCUUAUCCCAUUUACUAGGCUGCCUUUUUUGCUUUGUUGAUAGUUUCCUUUGCUGUACAAAGGAAAAGUCUUUUCAGUUUGAUGUAGUCCGAUUUGUUUAUUUUUGCUUUUGUUUUCCUUGCCUGAGGAAAGUGAAAGUGUUAGUCAUUCAGUCCUGUCCAACUCUUCUUCAACCUCAUGGACUGUAGCCCACCAGGCUCCCCUGUCCAUGGAAUUCUCCAGGCAAGAAUACUGGACUGAGUAGCCAUUCCCUUCUCUAGGGGAAUCUUCCCCACCCAGAGAACAAACCUGGGUUUCCCACAUUAGCAGGCAGAUUUUUUUACCAUCUGAGCCACCAGGGAAUCCCCCUUGCCUGAGGAGGCAGAUCCAAAAAAAAAUCUUACUAAGUUCAGUGUCAAAGAGUUCAUCGUCUCUGUUUUCUUUUAGGAAUUUUGUGGUUUCAGAUAAGUCUUUAAUCCAUUUUGAGUUUAUUUUUGUAUAUGGUAUAAGAAAAUGAUCCAGUUUGAUUUAUUUGCAUACAACUGUCUUGUUUUCCAAUAUCAUUUAUUGUAGAAGCUCUCUUUCCCCCCAUUGUAUAUCCUUGCUUCCUUUCAGUUCAGUUCAGUUCACUUCGGUCACUCAGUCACGUCCGACUCUUUGCCGCCCCAUGGACUACAGCACGCCAGGCCUGCCUGUCCAUCACCAACUCCUGGAGUUUACCCAAACUCAUGUCCAUUGAGUCACUGAUGCUAUCCAACCAUCUCAUCCUCUGUCGUCCCCUUCUCCUCCCACCUUCAAUCUUUCCCAGCAUCAGGGUCUUUUCCAACGAGUCAGUUUUUUUCGCAUCAGGUGGCCAAAGUAUUGGAGUUUCAGUUUCAACAUCAGUCCUUCCAAUGAACACUCAGGACUGAUCUCCUUUAAGAUUGACUGGUUUGAUCUCCUUGCAGUCCAAGGGACUCUCAAGAAUCUUCUCCAACACUGCAGUUCAAAAACAUCAAUUCUUCAGCGCUCAGCCUUCUUCACAGUCCAACUCUCACAUCCAUACAUGACCACUGGAAAAUCAUAGCCUUGACUAGACAGACCUUUGUUAGCAAAGUAAUGUCUCAGCUUUUUAAUAUGCUGUCUAGGUUGGUCAUAACUUUCCUUCCAAGAGUAAGGAGUACGGAGUAAGCGUCUUCUAAUUUCAUGGCUGCAGUCACCAUCUGCAGUGAUUUUGGAGCUGCCCAAAAUAAAGUCAGCAUUGUUUCCACUGUUUCCCCAUCUAUUUGCCAUGAAGUGAUGGGACCAGAUGCCAUGAUCUUGGUUUUCUGAAUAUUUCCAGCCCAGCGUUUCUCGUGAUGUGCUCUGCAUAUAAGGUAAAUAAGCAGGGUGACAAUAUACAGCCUUGACGUACUCCUUUUCCUAUUUGGAACCAGUCUGUUGGUCCAUGUCCAGUUCUAACUGUUGCUUCCUGACCUGCAUACAGAUUUCUCAAGAGGCAGGUCAGGUGGUCUAGUAUUCCCAUCUCUUUCAGAAUUUUUCACAGUUUAUUGUGAUCCAUGCAGUCAAAGGCUUUGACAUAGUCAAUAAAGCAGAAAUAGAUGUUUUCUGGAACUCUCUUGUUUUUUCCAUGAUCCAGCGGAUGUUGGCAAUUUGAUCCCUGGUUCCUCUGCCUUUUCUAAAACCAGCUUGAACAUCUGGAAGUUCACAGUUCACAUAUUGUUGAAGCCUGGCUUGGAGAACUUUGAGCAUUACUUUACUAGUGUGUGAGAUGAGUGCAACUGUGUGGUAGUUUGAGCAUUCUUUGGCAUUGUCUUUCUUUGAGAUUGGAAUGAAAACUGACCUUUUCCAGUCCUGUGGCCACUGCUGAGUUUUCCAAAUUUGCUGGCAUAUUGAGUGUAGCACUUUCACAGCAUCAUCUUCAAAUUUUCAAAAUGCUUCCUUUUGAUGGGAAAAUAUUUUAAUUUUCUUGAAGUCCAAUAUUUCACUUUUUACUUUAAUGGUUAGUAUAUUUUAUGUUAUGCCUAAAAAAGCUUUGCCUAUUCCAUGGUUGCAAAGAUUUUCUUCUAGAAGCUUUAUGGUUCUAGCUUUUACAUUUAAGUUUGUGAUCCAUCUUUAAUUUUUGUGUAUGGAGUGCAGUAGGGAUUAGAAUUAUUCCACAGAUCUGUCCAGUUUCAGCAUAAUUUGAUUUUCCUUUCCUCAGUGAUCUUACUUGGUUAAUAAUCCAUUGACUGUAUAAGUCUGGGUCUGUUUGUGGACUCAAUUCUGGUUAUUAAUCAAUCUAGAAUACAAUAAAAGUAAGUCUGAUGUAACUUUAUGGUAAAUCUAGAACUCAGGAAUUUACAUAAAUACUCUAACUUUGUUAUUCUCUUUCAAAUUGUCUUGGUUGUUCUAGGUCCUAGAUCCUUUGAAUUUCCAUAUGAAUCUUAGACCCACUUUGUUACUUUCUUCAAAAGUCUGCUGAAGUCUAGAGAUAACUUGAGGUUCCAUCUAUUUUCUACCUCCAGAGAAGACUUCCUUUUUUUGUCAAGCAGAUGGCCUAAGGGAUGAAUACCUUUAUCUAAUAAAUGCCUAAGAAAUUCAAAGCUGGGUUUCAGUCCUUCUGAGGACUGGUCUAUUUCCAGUUCAUCCUAUUCCAAGUGUGAAGUGCUUCUUGGUCCCAGUUAGAACCCUUGGUGUUUUCAGGGCCCUUCCUCCUUUCCGGUUCUAUACUAUAAUUUUUUUCUUGCCAUUCAUGACUGGGAAAUUGCUGAAAGCUCUUUUCAGCUUCUCAGUGCUGCUUUUGUUUUCAGAGAGUAAAUUAUCUGCAGGGUAAAGUUUCCCCAAACACCAGGCUCACUUUUUUGGGCUUUUCUUUUCUUUCAGAUCUUGGAUCAGCAAAUUCUCAUUGCUUUGGUAGCUUUUCAAUGCCUUCAAAUUGGUGUUUUAAAAGUAAUGAUUUGUCCAGAUUUUCUAAUUGUUCUCAGCAAGAGGUUUGUCUAUAACAGCCUAGUUAGUCAGUCAUUGCCACAGCUGGAACUCUCUGGCACAUUUUUUAAAAUAUAAGUUAAUUAAAAUUAACUUUGUUUUGGAAAAUAUUUUCAGACUUUCCUAAUGAUUAUGGAGAUAAUUGACAAUUAUCUAGAGGGGUGGAAAUUGUUAGCAUGGAAGUUUGCUUCAGCAUUUUAGGGGCGGAAAUACCAUAGACCUCAUACUAGAAUAAGAGAGGCUGCAAACAGAAUGUGAUGUUUGGAACUGCUCACCAAGGUUACUUGGUAUGCCUUAUAAAUUUUCCACUUCCCAAUUUCCACCCAAAAUUGAGAGGUUAGAGAUAAUAUCCCUUUGCUUCCUACCUUCAUCCAGUCCCACUGAAGCAGAGUGGUAUUACCCCUUCAACAUUUUCCCAUUACUGAGCUGUAGCAGGGCUUCCCAGGUGGUGCUAGUAGUAAGAACCCGCCUGCCAAUGCAGGAGACAUAAGAGACACAGGUUUGGGUUGAUCCCUGGGUUGGGAAGAUCCCCUGGAGGAAGGCAUGACAAUGCACCCUGGUAUUCUUGCCUGGAGAAUCCCAUGAACAGAGAGCCUGGCAGGCUACAGUCCGUGGGGUCACAGAGUCAGACACAGCUGAAGUGACUUAGCAUGCAUGCAUGAGCUGUAGCAAUAUGUGAGUUUUAUAGCUGGAUAAUAUGGGUGAGCAUUCCUCCAACUGCUUUUAGAUGUUGGUAGUGGAAUCUGCUCACUCUAACUUAAUCCCUGGUACUUCUCACUUUUAACAGGGGAAAUCACGUUGGUGGAGAUGAAAGCAGCAUAAGGAAAAGAGAAUGUGCCCAAUUCAACAAUUUUAAUUUAAGCCUCUGAAGUUUCUCAAAUCAAAUGUGGGCAUAGCUAGAAACCUAUGGCUCUUGUACACAGAUGUACACAUAUCAACAGCUAUUUAGACCUCCAUACACACACACUCCCAAGUACAUACAUAUUAUACACUCAAAUGUAUAUAGACAUAGACUAAUAGCUCCUGUGGAACAGGUACUGUGAGAACAGGAAGUUUAACCUCGGGCUAAACUAGAUAAUACCAUAUAAUCCACUGGAUACUAUGUGGAAAGAGGUGACUCAAAUGACCCUCUUGCCUUUUUUUUAAUAGUUAUUAGAAAAUAUUGGCUAUAUUCCAUAUGUUGUACAGUAUAUCCUUACAGCUUACUUAUUUUUUCCCACUUACUUGAAUGCUUUAUUAUUUUUAUUCAUUUGUUUUUAAUUGGAGGGUAAUUGCUUUACAGUAUUGUGUUGGUUUCUGCCAUACAUCAGCAUGAAUCAGUCAUAGGUAUACAUGUGUCCCCUCCCUCUUGAAUUUCCCUCCCACUUCCCACCCCACCCUACCCCUCUAGGUUGUCACAGAUCACCCAGUUUGAACUCUGCAUCAUACAGCAAAUUCCCGCUUGCUAUCUGUUUUACAUGUGGCAAUGUACAUGUUUUAAUGUUUCUCUCCCAAUUCAUCCCACCCUCUCCUUCUCUCACUAUGUCCACAAAGCUGUUCUGUAUGUGGGUCUCUCCACUGCUGCCCUUCAGAUAGUUUCCUCAGUACCAUCUUUCUAGAUUCCAUAUAUAUGCAUUAAUAUAUGAUAUUUGUUUUUCUUUCUGACUUAACUUCAGUCUGUAUAGUAGGCUCGAGAUUCAUCCAGUUUGUAUCUCUUACCUCUAUAGUACUCCCUCCCCUGUAGUAUCCCUCCCCCUUCCUACGAAAACCACUAGUUUGUUCUCUGUGUGUCAGUUUCUUUUUUGUAAUGUUCACUAAUUUAUUAUUUUUUAGAUUCCACAUAUAAAUGAUAUUAUGCAGUAUUUGUUUGUCUUUCUUUAUCUGACUUAAUUCACUUAACAGAAUACCCUCCAAAUCCAUCCAUGUUGUUGCAAAUGACAAAAUUUAAUUCUUAUGUGGCUGAGUAGUAUUCCAUUUGUGUAUGUAUAUACACCACAUCUUCCUUAUCCAUUCAUCUGUUGCUGAUGUAUGCUUAGGUUGCUUCCUUAUCUUGGCAGUUUUACAUAAUGCUACACUGGGGUGCAUGUAUCUUUUCAAACUAGGUUGUUGUUGUGUUUUUUUUCAGAUAUAUACACAGGGGUGGAAUUGCUAAGUCAUAUAGUAGUUCUGUUUUUAGUUUUUUGAGAGAUCUCCAUAAUGUUUUCCACAGUGGCUAUAACAAUUUACAUUCUCGCCAACAGUUUACAAAGGUUCUCUUACUUUAUGUACUCAUUAACAUUUGUUAUUUGUGUUUUUUCUUUUCCACUAUGAUUUAUUAUAAGAUAUUGAAUACAGUUUCUUGUGCUAUACCUCUUGCCCUCUUGAGGAGGGACAGGAUCAAGAAGCAAGAGCUGACUUUGGCUGAUGCUUGUUAUGUGCCUUAUGGUGCUAGGACAUCUUGUAUAUAUUAUCACAUUCAAUCCUCAUGUGAUCCUACAGAAUAGGAUCUACACAUACCUAUAAAAGACAUAGAGAAUGCAAAGACAAAUAAGCCUGGACCUUCUGUCAUGAAGCUCACAGUCUAAAGGUGAGUCAGACUCACAAACAGGCACUUUCAAUGUAAGAUACUGAGUUAGAGAUAAACACAGAUUGUCAUAGGAGCGUGGAGAGGAAGCAGUUAGUUCAGUAUGGGGGAUCAGGGAAGCAGGAAGAAAUGACUCUUGAACUAACAUGUGGGAGGCAGAAAGAAUGCAUCUGAAACACUUAGCAAGCAAUACUGCCAGUAUGUGUGUCCUGAACAGAGUGACACCGGUGAUGCGGCACUAUAGAGAGCUAAUAAAUAUUGCAUGACUGAGCUGUUCCUUAAAAACUUCAGAGCGAGAACUAUCAGACUGUAAACUUUUCCUCCUCUUCCUUUUGCUUUUGCAACUCCUAAAGCCUAUUCUUGUUGUUGGGGGAUUUUUCUUCCUCCAUCCUUCCCUUUUUCCCUUCCUUCCUUCCUGUCUUUUGAUUUUUUUUUUCCUCCAAAAAUAGAGAUAUAAGAACUGAAGAAACUGGGGAAGUCUUCAACAGAGUGUGAAACUUGAAGGAUUCGUGGGAUUUAAAUAUAAAAUACAAAAAGGGAGGACACUGAAAGUAUCCAAAUGCCAACUAUUGAGUCCUUCAAUUCACAUUUAGUGAUCCCCUUUCCUGCCUUCUUAUAGCAUGUUCUGGGAACACUGAGAUGAAUCUGACCCAUGAGCUGAAAUAAGCAGUACAUGUUUAUGGGCAGUAAAUGGAAAGCAUAUAUAGAAUAAUGGGACAUUAAGUCUAAUAAGCAAAUUGGGAUAGAUUGAAAAGGGCCUAGAAAAUAAACAGAUGAGUUUAGACCUGAUGCAGUUUGAUAUCAAGAGUCCUUUUAGGCUUUUG